CACCAUUAACCACAUUGUGUGACUGUAAGUGAUGAGAUUGGUUCUCCUGAAAGAUGGCAGUCUAACUCUGAACAAAGUUCCCCAAGGAGGAGGAAACAUGCCAUUUUGAACAACGGUGCCAUCGCUGGAAAAGGCAUCCAGUCUCUCUACUUCGAAGACCAGCACUUAUUCAGGUGGUUCCAGGGAGAAACCGUCCCAGGACCCAUGUACGGGCACAGCUGUUUCCCCUGAUCAGGAUCCUUGCUGCACCCAACAGGGAAAGGAAAUUCCUAAGCAAGGAACACUGCUCAGAAAGUACUGUACCAUGUCUCCAAAUCCCUGAGAAUCAAGUCGGAAAACUGGAAGCAACGGAAAGCACUAUAAG